rnacentral:rRNA from 1 species
UACGGAGGGGGCAAGCGUUGUUCGGAGUCACUGGGCGUAAAGGGCGCGUAGGCGGUGCAUCAAGUCAGGCGUGAAAGCCCUGGGCUCAACCCGGGAACUGCGCUUGAUACUGGCGCGCUUGAAUCCAGGAGAGGUUGGUGGAAUUCCCAGUGUAGAGGUGAAAUUCGUAGAGAUUGGGAAGAACACCGGUGGCGAAGGCGGCCAACUGGACUGGUA